UACGAAGGGGGCUAGCGUUGCUCGGAAUCACUGGGCGUAAAGCGCACGUAGGCGGCUUUUUAAGUCAGGGGUGAAAUCCUGGAGCUCAACUCCAGAACUGCCUUUGAUACUGGGAAGCUCGAGUCCGGGAGAGGUGAGUGGAACUCCGAGUGUAGAGGUGAAAUUCGUAGAUAUUCGGAAGAACACCAGUGGCGAAGGCGGCUUGCCAGAACGCGCUCGACGGUGAGGGAUGAAAGCUGGGGGAGCAAACCGG
rnacentral:rRNA from 1 species